rnacentral:rRNA from 1 species
UACGUAGGCAGCGAGCGUUGUUCGGAGUUACUGGGCGUAAAGGGUGUGUAGGCGGUUGCUUAAGUUUGGUGUGAAAUCUCCCGGCUCAACCGGGAGGGUGCGCCGAAUACUGAGUGACUAGAGUGCGGGAGAGGAAAGUGGAAUUCCUGGUGUAGCGGUGAAAUGCGUAGAUAUCAGGAGGAACACCUGUGGCGAAAGCGGCUCACUGGACCAUAACUGACGCUGAUGCACGAAGGCUAGGGGAGCAAACAGG